AGCAGCUGCAGCUGACCAGAAGCUUCUUUGCUGUCCAGUUUUGCCAAGAGAAUGAACGGACCUGCCUCUGCAAAGAUUUAUGAGAGAUGCAUCGCUCAUCCCUUCUUCAGGUCCAGAUUUAGAGAUAAGGACUCGCGCUGGGAUUUUGUUUGGCACCUUUCCAGCAUGUUAUGGACCAACUUAGUUCCCUAAAGCACAGCGUUAAGUAGUUUACCCAGUUACCUAUCCAGGAUAUGCUAAGGUUUCUUCAUCUCUGAGUGACCUGACAUUUGAGUUUUGGGAUCUGUAAGAGUGAGAGCACCAGACCUGAAGAAAAGGUAACUAAAUUUUCAAUCAAUCUCUAUUUCACAAUAUGAACUUUGUUCAAGACAGUCCAAGGAUUAUGAAUUAAGGCAGAGAGAUUCUUUUUGUGUGUGUGUGUGAUUCAUUUCUUUCUUUCUUUCUUUUUUUUAAUUAAAGCUUUUUAUGGACAAAACAUAUGCAUGGGUAAUUUUUCAACAUUGACCCUUGCAAAGUCUUCUGUUCCAAAUUAUCCCCUCUUUCCUCCUGUUCCCCCA
rnacentral:lncRNA from 1 species